UACGAAGGGGGCGAGCGUUGUUCGGAUUUACUGGGCGUAAAGGGCGCGCAGGCGGCUAUCUUUGUCAGGCGUGAAAGCCCCGGGCUUAACCUGGGAAUGGCGCUUGGGACGGGGUGGCUAGAGAUCGGGAGAGGAGAGUGGAAUUCCCAGUGUAGAGGUGAAAUUCGUAGAUAUUCGCAGGAACACCAGUGGCGAAGGCGGCUUACUGGUCCAUAACUGACGCUGAGGUGCGAAAGCGUGGGGAGCAAACAGG
rnacentral:rRNA from 1 species